rnacentral:rRNA from 1 species
UACGUAGGGGGCAAGCGUUGUCCGGAAUCAUUGGGCGUAAAGAGCGCGUAGGCGGCCCUGUAAGUCCGCUGUGAAAGUCAAGGGCUCAACCCUUGAAUGCCGGUGGAUACUGCAGGGCUAGAGUCCGGAAGAGGCGAGUGGAAUUCCUGGUGUAGCGGUGAAAUGCGCAGAUAUCAGGAGGAACACCGGUGGCGAAGGCGGGUCUCUGGGCCGAUGACUGACGCUGGAGGAGCGAAAGCGUGGGGAGCAAACAGG